rnacentral:tRNA from 1 species
GCCAGCAUGGCAUAGUGGUUUGAGUGUUGGACUAAGACUCUGGAGGUCAGGGCUCGAUUCCCAGCUUAGCCA